rnacentral:rRNA from 1 species
UUGACCUCAAAUCAGGUAGGACUACCCGCUGAACUUAAGCAUAUCAAUAAGCGGAGGAAAAGAAACUAACAAGGAUUCCCCCUAGUAACUGCGAGUGAAGCGGGAAAAGCUCAAAUUUGAAAUCUGGCAGCUCUUUGAACUGUCCGAGUUGUA